CCUACGGGGGGCUGCAGUGAGGAAUAUUGGUCAAUGGACGAGAGUCUGAACCAGCCAAGUAGCGUGAAGGAUGACUGCCCUAUGGGUUGUAAACUUCUUUUAUAUGGGAAUAAAAUGUUCCACGUGUGGGAUUUUGUAUGUACCAUAUGAAUAAGGAUCGGCUAACUCCGUGCCAGCAGCCGCGGUAAUACGGAGGAUCCGAGCGUUAUCCGGAUUUAUUGGGUUUAAAGGGAGCGUAGGUGGAUUGUUAAGUCAGUUGUGAAAGUUUGCGGCUCAACCGUAAAAUUGCAGUUGAAACUGGCAGUCUUGAGUACAGUAGAGGUGGGCGGAAGGCGUGGUGUAGCGGUGAAAUGCUUAGAUAUCACGAAGAACUCCGAUUGUGAAGGCAGUUCACUGGACUGCAACUGACACUGAGGCUCGAAAGUGUGGGUAUCAAACAGGAUUAGAUACCCGAGUAGUC
rnacentral:rRNA from 1 species